GACGUAGGGCGCGAGCGUUGUCCGGAUUUAUUGGGCGUAAAGAGCUCGUAGGCGGCUUGUCGCGUCGGCUGUGAAAACCCGCGGCUCAACUGUGGGCGGGCAGCUGAUACGGGCAGGCUGGAGUUCGGUAGGGGAGACUGGAAUUCCUGGUGUAGCGGUGAAAUGCGCAGAUAUCAGGAAGAACACCCGUGGCGAAAGCGGCUCUCUGGAACGGUACUGACGCUGAGACGCGAAAGCGUGGGGAGCGAACAGG
rnacentral:rRNA from 1 species